AUAAUACACACUACAUCGUUAUAUUCAGUGAUAUAUUGUAAGUUAUAACCAUUAUAUUGAUGUUGCAAAAGUAAUGUAACUGUAUCAGGUGCUGCUUAUGAGUUUAGGUGUUGGGCACGGCUGGCUUCCCGCCAGCCGUCUUAUAGUCCUUUUGGUCUAGGUGGUUAACACCGUACUGCCCAGCUGGUGCCUCGUCAUUACAGGAAAGGCUGUUAAAAUCUUGUGGGUGUCAUCUUCAAAGAUACCAAUCAAACCUUUUCAUUCGAUUUUGAAAUUCAUACGACUCUCGUAGAAGUGGGGGUUGCACAGCGGUUGAUUAUAUAAAAAAUAUAAAUACAUGGCAUCCGGUAGUUACGAGUAUACUUUUCCAUUGAAAGAAACUGUACAACUACAUUCUGAUAAUUUUAGUAUAGAAACAAAAUCGAGAUCUUAAUCAUCACUUUUCAGAGCCCCUACGGAGUACAUAACUUCGAAUCCAUUUGUUGCUAUCAAAGGUCAGUGCCUUCCUUACACCUACCACUCUCAUCCCAUCCAAACCACACACAGGCGGCCCAUCCAUCCAACGGGAGUAAGUGGGAUAUAAUUUUCCAUAUAAUAGAACAAUUU
rnacentral:sRNA from 1 species